GACGAGGGGUCCAAGCGUUGUUCGGAAUUACUGGGCGUAAAGCGUGCGCAGGCGGUUUUGUAAGUCUGUCGUGAAAUCCCCGGGCUCAACCUGGGAAUUGCGAUGGAGACUGCAAGGCUAGAAUCUGGCAGAGGGGGGUAGAAUUCCACGUGUAGCAGUGAAAUGCGUAGAGAUGUGGAGGAACACCGAUGGCGAAGGCAGCCCCCUGGGUCAAGAUUGACGCUCAUGCACGAAAGCGUGGGGAGCAAACAGG
rnacentral:rRNA from 1 species